GAUGAAGAACGCAGCGAAAUGCGAUAAGUAAUGUGAAUUGCAGAAUUCAGUGAAUCAUCGAAUCUUUGAACGCACAUUGCGCCCGCCAGUAUUCUGGCGGGCAUGCCUGUUCGAGCGUCAUUUCAACCAUCAAGCCCCCGGCUUGUGUUGGGGACCUGCGGCUGCCGCAGGCCCUGAAAACCAGUGGCGGGCUCGCUAGUCACUCCGAGCGUAGUAAUACAUCUCGCUCAGGGCGUGCUGCGGGUUCCGGCCGUUAAAAAGCCUUAUUUACCCAAGGUUGACCUCGUAUCAGGUAGGAAGACCCGCUGAACUUAAGCAUAUCAAUAAGCGGAGGA
rnacentral:misc_RNA from 1 species